CCUACGGGUGGCAGCAGUGAGGAAUAUUGGUCAAUGGGCGUACGCCUGAACCAGCCAAGUCGCGUGAGGGAAGACUGCCCUAUGGGUUGUAAACCUCUUUUGUCAGGGAGCAACGCCGGCUACGUGUCGCCGGACUGAGAGUACCUGAAGAAAAAGCAUCGGCUAACUCCGUGCCAGCAGCCGCGGUAAUACGGGGGAUGCGAGCGUUAUCCGGAUUGAUUGGGUUUAAAGGGUGCGUAGGCGGAAUGCCAAGUCAGCGGUAAAAUCGCGGGGCUCAACCUCGCUCCGCCGUUGAAACUGGCGUUCUUGAGUGGGCGAGAAGUAUGCGGAAUGCGUGGUGUAGCGGUGAAAUGCAUAGAUAUCACGCAGAACUCCGAUUGCGAAGGCAGCAUACCGGCGCCCAACUGACGCUGAAGCACGAAAGCGUGGGUAUCGAACAGGAUUAGAUACCCGUGUAGUC
rnacentral:rRNA from 1 species